UAUAUAUAUAUAUACAACAUGGACAACAAAAUCUUCUCUAGCUUGCUUUUUGUCAAGUAACACAGCCUGCUGGAUUACUAAAUUGUUAACCAUGUAGUGCUUAGGCAACUGGUGAAUAUAGAGUUGGCUAAAGAAGACUUGGAUGAUAAUAUCGAUAAAAGGAUUGUACACCUACAAUUUGGAAACUAUUUUAAUCUACAAAGCUGGGACUAAUGUAUUACGAGACAAGCAUUAUUGAUUAUGUUCAUGUUUCUCAUAUAUUAUUUUUAACUUGGUGUUUAAUGGCCAAGGUUCUCUCCCUACUUGAUAUAACAUGAAACAGGGCUGGUACCAUCUUUAUGGCUUGCUUCAGAGGUCUUAUGUCACGAUUAUCUAUAUCCAACACCUAAAUUUCUAAUCAGGAAGCAUGUUUGUUUUACUUGUCAUGGCAUGUUGACAUCCAUCCUGUACGUCUCUUUAUCAAGACCAUUUCUAGCUGAUGUUAGAUCACCUUAUUCAUUGCCUAACAUUUUGAUCCGUACAACAUGAGGGGCCAGUCUAAUGAUCAAUGUUGUCAGACUGGCUACUCUGGUCUUAGGCUAUGAAACCUUUAGAGCCUACACAGUUUGUAUAUCCUUAUUUUGAUAUGCUUGUGCUCUCUGUUUAUUGUCUAACAUUAAAUUUGUAGUGUGAAGCGCUAGAUACUGAGUGAUGAUUUUAUCUGUCUAGGAGAUCCUUGACAGUAACCUUUCAAAGGCCUAAGUAGGAUGCUAAAUUAAAAAUUGGCUGAUAAUUUAUUAAAUCUAUAUACAGAUAUUGCAACUUAAACCUCACUUCUAGAUAGAUUUAAAUAAUUACAAACAUAUAUUGAGUUUGUGGAAAGUGUAUCAGAAACAAGGUCACCAACUAUUUAAGUUAUAUUCUCCAGGCUGUGGAAAGCAUAUCUAUCAAUAAAGGAGAAUAUAUUUGUAGUUUUUCUGAAAAACAACAAACAAUACAUAAAGAAUAAAUGUGACAACUAGAGCACCACGCAGUUAUUAGGUACCUAGACACCUUCCUAGAUAUUAGCUUGGGAAGUCAAGUUGUUGCCCUGCCUUUGACAGAACACUAAUCUUUAUGUAGGAUUUUCUCAUUGUGGUUGCUCUUGGGUGGGAAGAAAGGCAUUAAACCUAAUUCAUGUUGAUCGUGGUAGUCUUUCUUCUUUCAAGGGAAAACUGGGAAAUCCUAGAUUGGAGGAAAAGGCUGCCUUGAAUUGGUAAUGAUGGAUGCGCACAAGGGAGAAGAGGAGUCAGGCAGAGAGCUUUUUUUCUUGAAAAUAUUUGGCCCAUAAUUUGGGUAAUUAGUAUGCACGUUUUGGGGGGAAAAAGCUAUACACAUCGUGAAGUCUUAUAUUUUCAAGAUUUUUUUUUGCAUAGGGUUUUUGGCAUUGAGCAUAUGUGGUUUCUUGGAAAUACUGGGUCCAUUAUUUGGACAUCAGUAUUGCAGAUUGUCAAAUAUGCAUAGAGGUGGAUUCCACACCUUAACUCUUUAUAAAAGGAGUUAAUGGUUAAAAAUCAAUCAUUUAGUAUUUGAUUCAAGAUCCAAACUGUUGAACAUGGUCUACACUAAAAUAUGCCUAGAAACCAAAAUUCAUGGUUUUUCAUGGUCUCUAACAGAACCAUCAAGUAUGUGUCUAAAUGGGUGAUUUUACUUGCAUGAUAUUGUGCUUUAUUAUGAUUUAAUCAUCAAAACCUAGUGAAUUUAAAUCUACCCAUGUUCUCAAAUUUGUAGAUCAUGAUCCAUAAUGUGGGUUUUUAUGUUAUGUGCCCUAUCAUGUAUUUUGCAAUACUAGCACAAUUGAUACCAUUCAUUUUUGUACCAACUUGAUGCUAGGUUAGAGACUACCAAAUAAUUUUGGUUUCUAGGCACUUGUUGUAGUGUAGGUCAUGUUCAUUAGGUUGGAUCUUUAAUUUGGAUAAUCCAUCAUUUAUUUUAAAAUCAUUAACUUCUUUUUUUAAGGAGUUAAAAUAACGUGUAGUCUAACUUGAUAUGCAUAUGUAAGAAUCCUUUUUAUUUUUUUGCAAAUACACUUGGGUUUUGGUGAACUUAACAACUAACUGCAAAACACAAUUAGGUAAAGUAGUUUGUGAUGGUGGUUUGCCAGCAAAUACAGUUGUCUGAUGAUUCCUUAAAUGUUUGUGCCGCAGGGCCAAAUAUUUUACUUAGUGUUUGCUCUAAUGAUGCAGGGCAUCCACAUAUUCAAUUUGGCCCUGCAUCUUCAAUUUGCACCUGCAUCAUUAAAGUAAUUUAAAGCAUCCACAUAUUUUGUUAAUUCAUGUUUUUUUAAAAAAGUAAUUUCUCCUUUUCUGUUGGUUAGUUUAACACAUGCAUUGACCUAUCUGAUGCUUGAAUAACUUUUAGAUUCUAACUCGUCUAUUUUUUUGUUCAUUUGCUUUUUUGUGCAUUGUAUUGUGUAUCCUCCUGUUCCACUGUAUGAAUAUAAUGAUGCUUUUCCUGGGCCCAACAGUGGCUUCUAUCCUGAGAGGCCCUCUGGUGUGGGUGGUGACAUUUUCGUAGGGCCAAAUGCUCCAUGCUGGUUUGGUUCUGGUGAAUUUCCUGGUUCUCUUGGUGGACUUCCGCCAGUACACUAUCUCUUUCCUUGUCAAAAGAAAAUAAAUAUUUUUCAUUUUUAUUUCUCUGCUCGUCAAACUAAAACUCUAACCAUCUAGAAUUAAAACAGAGGUGUGCCACCGGGUGCUUGCUUUGAUCCAUACAGUCCUCCUGGUGUCCCAGGCUUCGAGCCUGGUUGUUUUGCAAGUGGACUGCGACAACCUGGGAGUGGUACUCAUCCAGAUGUUCAAUUUUUCCCAAGAGAUCCUGAUUAUAUGUAGGCACCUGAUGGAGAAUCAGAUCCUUCCAUACACUGAAGUUUUGAUUUUCUCAGAACAUACCCUAACAGUUACAGGUAGUUUAUAAAUAAAAUCGAUGUUUGAUAAAUUAGUUAAUGGCCUGUAACUUGAUGUUUGUACAACCUACUGUUUUGGUUUGAUUUUUUAGGUUUAGUUUAUAGAUGAAAUGGAUGUUUGAGCGAUCCAGUCAAGAACUGUAACUUGACGUGCGUAUGAGCUCUCUCUUUGUUUUUCCUUGUUUUUUUUCAUUUCCUCCUGGGGUUUCGUUAAAUUCUCAAAGCAAAUCUCUUAUCUUUUUUU